rnacentral:rRNA from 13 species
CAAUAACAGGUCUGUGAUGCCCUUAGAUGUCCUGGGCCGCACGCGCGCUACACUGAUGCAGGCAGUAAGCCCUCCGCGGCAGAAAUGCCCCGGUAACCUUCAAACUGCAUCGUGAUGGGGAUUGACUCUUGGAAUUAUUGGUCAUCAACGAGGAAUUCCUAGUAAACGCAAGUCAUCAACUUGCAUUGACUACGUCCCUGCCCUUUGUACACAC